rnacentral:rRNA from 1 species
GUCUACACCCAUGCCAUCUUGAACGAGCCUGAUCCCGUCUGAUCUCGGAAGCUAAGCAGGGUCGGGUCUGGUUAGUACUUGGAUGGGAGACCACCUAGGAAGACCAGGUGCUGUAGGCA